rnacentral:rRNA from 1 species
CCUACGGGAGGUAGCAGUGAGGAAUAUUGGUCAAUGGACGAGAGUCUGAACCAGCCAAGUCGCGUGCAGGAUGACUGCCCUAUGGGUUGUAAACUUCUUUUGUAAAGGAGUAAACCGGAGCACGUGUACCUUUUUGCAUGUACUUUAUGAAUAAGGAUCGGCUAACUCCGUGCCAGCAGCCGCGGUAAUACGGAGGAUCCGAGCGUUAUCCGGAUUUAUUGGGUUUAAAGGGAGCGUAGAUGGGUUGUUAAGUCAGUUGUGAAAGGUUGCGGCUCAACCGGAGAAUUGCAAUUGAUACUGGCAGUCUUGAGUACAGUUGAGGUAGGCGGAAUUCGUGGUGUAGCGGUGAAAUGCUUAGAUAUCAUGAAGAACCCCGAUUGCGAAGGCAGCUUACCAAACUGUGACUGACAUUGAGGCUCGAAAGUGUGGGUAUCAAACAGGAUUAGAUACCCUAGUAGUC